CUGUGGAAACAAAGACAUGCCCCACAUGCCCUUGAGGUCUGUGUUGCUGCAUGGAAAGCAGUGCGAGUCCUGAGAGGACUGAGUGUUCCUUCUGGACGCGCCAAAACGCCUGCUUUUGAAACCGGAGAGACAGACGCUCUGCACCGAGUAUCCAGGCUACAGCUCUGGAUCUAAAGAAAAAGGAAAAGGCUGGAUUAAGACAAGAGAUAAAUAUGAGUCUGUUGGUCAAGGGCAUUUCUUGCUGCAGUGCUUCAAAUGGCUUGUCAACUGCAGCAAUUCCAUAAUUAACGGAUGAAUCCCAGCAUGAUGGAAUGGUAGCUCCGGAAACACGUGGAUGGAAAAGAAAAAGAUCCCAUGCCAGCAGGCUCAACUGCACCAACGCUCUCUCGGGCUGUGGGCGGGACUGUGAUGCUCUGUGCAUCGGGCACCGUAAUCAACAAAAGCAAGGACUUACAAACCUGUUAGUACUAGAAGAUCCCAUAUGGAAGACAUCGAGAAGAAACCCUAAGGUACUUCACACACCUGAACCUUUACUAGCUCCAUGCUGGGAUGUUUAAAGGGACCACAAUGGAAAUAAGUCUUCGGGCUUUAUUGUGUUAUCCCUGACUACUUUUGUAUUUGUUUUUUAAUGUAUGCAACAGUUUCUUACUGUUCUUCAUAUUUUUAUAUUUAAGUGGUCAAAUAAAUCUAAUCUAAUCUAAAGUCAUAACUGCGAGUGAUAAUAGCCUCCAUUUAUCUUUCAAGCGCCCUGAGCACAUACUGCACUACCCAUAGACAUAUACACUAGACCUCA